rnacentral:rRNA from 1 species
UACGAAGGGGGCUAGCGUUGUUCGGAAUUACUGGGCGUAAAGCGUAUGCAGGCGGAUCGUUAAGUCGGGGGUGAAAUCCCGAGGCUCAACCUCGGAACUGCCUUCGAUACUGGCGACCUUCGAGUCCGGGAGAGGUGAGUGGAACUCCGAGUGUAGAGGUGAAAUUCGUAGAUAUUCGGAAGAACACCAGUGGCGAAGGCGGCUCACUGGCCCGGUACUGACGCUGAGGAGCGAAAGCGUGGGGAGCGAACAGG